CCUACGGGAGGCAGCAGUGAGGAAUAUUGGUCAAUGGUCGGGAGACUGAACCAGCCAAGCCGCGUGAGGGAUGAAGGUACAGAGUAUCGUAAACCUCUUUUGUCAGGGAACAAAGGCGGGGACGUGUCCCCGGAUGAGUGUACCAGAAGAAAAAGCAUCGGCUAACUCCGUGCCAGCAGCCGCGGUAAUACGGAGGAUGCGAGCGUUAUCCGGAUUUAUUGGGUUUAAAGGGUGCGCAGGCGGUUUUUUAAGUCAGCGGUGAAAGCCCGGGGCUCAACCCCGGGCCCGCCGUUGAUACUGGCAGUCUCGAGUUGGAGAGAGGUAUGCGGAAUGCGCGGUGUAGCGGUGAAAUUCAUAGAUAUCGCGCAGAACUCCGAUUGCGAAGGCAGCAUGCCGGCUCCACACUGACGCUGAGGCACGAAAGCGUGGGUAUCGAACAGGAUUAGAUACCCGGGUAGUC
rnacentral:rRNA from 1 species